AUUGAACGCUGGCGGCGUGCUUAACACAUGCAAGUCGUGCGAGAAAGGGGACUUCGGUCCCUGAGUAGAGCGGCGCACGGGUGAGUAACGCGUGGAUAAUCUCCCUAGAAGUUCGGGAUAACGGCGGGAAACUGCCGCUAAUACCGUAUGUGCCCUUCGGGGGAAAGAUUUAUCGGCAAAGGAUCGGCCCGCGUUGGAUUAGGUAGUUGGCGGGGUAAUGGCCUACCAAGCCGACGAUCCAUAGCUGGUUUGAGAGGAUGAUCAGCCACACUGGGACUGAGACACGGUCCAGACUCCUACGGGAGGCAGCAGUGGGGAAUUUUGGACAAUGGACGCAAGUCUGAUCCAGCCAUUCCGCGUGCAGGAUGAAGGCCCUCGGGUUGUAAACUGCUUUUGUACGGAACGAAAAGGUUUCUAUUAAUACUAGGAGCUCAUGACGGUACCGUAAGAAUAAGCACCGGCUAACUACGUG
rnacentral:rRNA from 1 species